rnacentral:rRNA from 1 species
CACGUAGGGUCCGAGCGUUGUCCGGAAUUACUGGGCGUAAAGCGUGCGCAGGCGGUUGGGUCAGUCGCUGGUGAAAGCCCCACGCUCAACGUGGGAAUGGCCAACGAGACGGCCCGACUGGAGGCAGGGAGAGGCCGGUGGAAUUCUGGGUGUAGUGGUGAAAUGCGUAGAGAUCCGGAGGAACACCAGAGGCGAAGGCGGCCGGCUGGACCUGACCUGACGCUGAGGCACGAAGGCGUGGGGAGCGAACGGGG